ACCACAUCCUUUCUUGCAAAGCAGCUCUGAUUGGUCCAGAUGGAUCCCACGCCGCUGGCUCAUCAUUUUUCACCAAAGUCAGGAGGACUGCUGGGGGGGACCAGAAGACCGAAAACUUAAAAAAAACAAACAAAGCCAUGAGCAGCUUGCCAGGGUGAGGACUGAGUUUGUGGACAGGGUGUCAAAUCCUGUGAUAUGCAGCUGCUGGACGACCUUUGUCUCAAGAGGAGCAGAAGUGGUCAUUCACAUUCAUCUCUACUGCUGAGGCAUUGUGGACAGAGAAGAAUGAAUGAAGAGUCACAACAUUCAGCAUCAUGCAAUUUUUAAAGCUGUUUUAGUUUACUGAGGUGUUCAGAAUUCAUUGCCAGAUUGAUUCUGACUAUGCGCAGUAUAUACAAAUGUUUUCUGCACACAUUGGACUGGCCUAAAUACAUUUUAAUUAUUCAUUAUUCUUUCACAUAUAAAACUUUCUUGCAGCUUUAAACACUAUAAAUAAACAACCUAUAUGCUGCAGUAGGAUACAUUGCAUCUGUUUAUUCAUAUCGACAAGGAAACCACAUGUAACAGGAUUGGAUGGUAUUUUUCAGGGGGUAGUCAAGUUAAGAAAUGUAAGACUAUUUUGUGACAAAUCUGAUUGCCAUGUAGUUGUUCUGAAACAAAAAGUACUGAUUUAUCUUUGCUGGUGGAGAGAUACUGUAUCUAGAUAAUGAUGAAGUAAAGUAUAAAUUGUAAUUACAACCUCUUCCAGGGAGCCAUACUAAUUAUAUUUGCAUAAUGGUUUGUGAAUGAUGAAUUACAAUCCAUUUAAAAUAAAAUAAUUCUGUAAUUUGUUUUCAUUAAUAAAAUUCUAAGAAAAAAAUAAAUGUGUGCCUCAUUGGCUUAUAUAUUUUUAUUUCUGGUGGUAUCACUAUGAAACUCUCCCAUUGAUUAUUCUGCAAAAAAGUUAGAGGAACUUAUUUAUCAUUUCCAAACCACAGAGUGUUUUAAAGCCUGUAUGGUUUCCUUAGAUGUUUUCCAUCUAUUGUUGACCUGUCCACCAAGAGUGACCUGUUCAUGCCCCCACAACAGAGGUGAUUCACCUGAUGCAUUUGAUCCUGUAUACUUUGUUUGGCCUCAUGGUUUAUUUAGCUUGUUUGUUAUAUUCAGUCAACUGGGUCAGGGUUAGGGUUAGGUCCCCACACUUUAUGCAUGCAUGUAAGAGCACUUGCACACAAGUGUCAAUUGGAUCAUGUUUGCUGUGAGAUUUGUUUUGCUGCACCUGAAGUGGGUAAGUGGUGGCAACCCUGGGCACUCCUCAGUUAGUCUGCCUCUUCACAUGUUAUGUUGGACUGUCAUUUUAGGUAUUUUAGCAUUUAUAAACUUAAGAUUUAAGGCCUCUUGUUAAAAGUCUAUAGGCCUACAUGUAAUAAAAUAGUUUUGUCCCUUUAUUGAUUGUUGUGAUUUUCACUUGCCCUUUAAUACAUUUUCUUAUUCAGCAGUUCCAGACCCUGCUAUUUAAUAUUUUUGGUUCAAAUAAGAUAUAUGGUUUUCAAAAACACAUCUCUGCCUUGUCAGUAACAAGGUGUGUCCUUGCAUCCACCAUCUAAGGUUUUAGGAUGGUAUAUCCUGGGGUGUGAUUACCCAGGUCGCCUUUUAGGCCCCCUUUACCUAAUGACAACUGUAAUGUCUGCCGUUUAGUGUUUGUUCAAAAUGAGGUAAACCAUUAAUGCAGAUCAAAGUGAGCAGGUCAGACCAUAAAGAUUUUUUAGACAGAAUCUGAUUUCCUCUGACUGAAAACCAUACAUUUUGUUGAAAACACAUCAUACUGAUGGUCUAAUAGUCAAAUAGCUUGUGGAGGUGAAGCAGGAAAACCUGACAGUAGGCUUCUUCUCUACAGGAAUGGAAUAGUCAGGAUCCUUAAUUUCUCUCAAUUUUCCUCAACCUGUCUUCACCUCACAUCCCUUGCCUCACUUCCUUUGCUUUCCUCAUCACUGAUAGGCUCUUGUUCUGCCCAUUACCACUCCUCAUUUUUGAGUUCACUUAGUUACUCUUUAUAUAACAUAAAAGCUUCACUCAUUCAUUCUUUUUCACCUUUGCGGGGGAUGGCAUUUCUGGUUAUAGAAGUUUAUGUUAGUCUUUAGUUCUUAUACUAUGUCCAUGUUAGUCUAUAACUGAUAACUUUAUCCUUAUUUCUUUAAGGACAUAUAAGACUAAUUUGAUUUAUUGUGUUAAUCUUUAAUCUCCAUUUGCCCAUGUGGGUUCUUCCUUCAUGUUUAGAAAUACAAUUCUUUUGAGAUUUGAAAAUAAACAUUUGGUCAGAGGAUUGAAGUUUCAUGGCUUUGUUUUCCAUGCAUUCUGAUAUAAUAAUCUGAUAUAAUACAGUUCAACAGCACCAAAAACCUCAUCCUCUCAAUUGAUCAUACAUUUGAAACACCUCUCUAAAACAGUUUCAAUAAAAACAUUAUAAUCGUUACUGCAGGAAUGUUGUAUUAGAAUGCAUUAGUUUUAGUUAGGUGUUAAAGUGUUGCUGAAAUCACAGAUUGUUUUACCAAUUUUUUCUGGUUUUCAACUUGUAAACAUUUAAACAUCUUUUCAUUGCUGUCCUGAUGAGUGAAAACAAUGUAUGUCCUAAAUUGAUGUUCCUUUGUAGGUUUGAAGUGAGUAAACCAAAUAAACCAUUAAAAAACCAGUUGCAUAAUAUGAAAAAUGCAUUGUCAUGAAGCUGAAACUGUUUUUCUUAGCUUGUAAAAACUUGAUGUUAUGGAGCAGGUGCGAAGGUUUGGUCUCAACAUUGGUAGGGACACAACAACCCAGCCACUCAUCCAAAACAAAGAGAUUGGCUUUUGAAUGCCAUCUACCAAAUGGUUUAAUAACAUACAAUAUCUGAAUUUACAUUCAGGAAUAUAUGUACCUGUGUUGAAUUUCCAUAUAUGGAAUAUAUGUACACAUGAAGUAAAAUCAUAUAUAUUUAAAGUAUAGUUUAUAUAUGUAAAAAUUACAUAUGAAACCGCUAAGGAAAAGAAAGAAAAAAACAAACAAACACCAAAAAAACGUCAUAGUAUAGUAAGGCAUAAAAACACGAAAAAGGUCACAGCAUAGUAGGCAUUAGUCAUCAAUUAAUCACACAGAAAAGUCCCAACAGGGUUUCGAACCAAGAAUUAUGGUACUGCAGGGCAACAUAUUUUACCAUUGUACUUCAGUACCUCCCUAUAAUAAAAGGCAUAUCAUAGUAAGAGGUAAAAACGUCCUAUUAUAGUAAGGCAUGAACAACAUCAAAAAACGUCGUAGUAUAUCAAGAUAUAAAAACGGCACAAUAUAGUAAGGCACAAAAUUGUCAGAAAACUUUAUAAUAUAGUAAGGCAUACAUACGGCAAAAAACGUUAAAGUAUAGUGAGGCAAAAAAACGUCAUAGUAUAGUAAAGUAUAAAAAUGUCAAAAAAUAUCAUAGUAUUUUAAGGCAUAAAAAUGCCAAAUAAGUCCUUGUAUACUAAGGCAUCAAAAUGUCAGAAAACGUUAUUGUAUAGUAAGCCAAGGAAAUGUCAUAAAAUAUCUAUAGUAUAAAACAGUAUAGUAAGUAUUAAAAAUGUCAUACUUUACUAAAGCAUAAAUAUGUCAAAAAACGAUAUAGAAUAACUUUAAUAGUAGUAAGGUAUGAAAAUGUCAUAGGCAUAAAAAUGUAUAAAAGCAUCUUAGUUUUGUAAAACAUAAACACAUAACUGUAUAGUAUUGCUGAUAAGAUGCUGGGUUUGAAAACACAAUCUUCUCACUGCAAGACUUAAAUCCUAACCAUUGUACCACCAUGGAAGUCUUACAAACUUGACACUACACAGGGCCACAAAAAGAAUAUAGUACAGUCAGGUAUAAAACCAUCAUAGUAUACUUAUAUAUAAAAUGUCAAAAAAUGUCAUGGUAUGAUAGGGCGUAAAAGGUUAAAAAUUUAAAAAAAACGUCAGAGUAUAGGCACAUAAAUGUCAAAAAAGUCAAAAUAUAGAUAGGCAUAAAAAUGUGAUAGUAGAGUGAGGCUUAAAAAUAUCAAAAAACAUCAUAUUUUAGUAGGGUAUAAAAAUGUGAUAAAGAUGUUAUAGUAGUAAGGUAUGAAAAUGUCAUAGGCAUAAAAAUAUAUAAAAACAUCUUAGUUUUGUAAAGUGAUGUGUGUCAUUAUGCAAACACUGCACAGAAAAGUCCUAACCUGGAUUCGAACUCACAGCCUUUGGAAUGACAGCUGAUGCGUUUAAGCACUCUACUACCCUACCAACUAACUUAUGUCAUAGUAUGGUGAGGAAUAAAAAAACACAAUACAUUAAGGAAUAAAGAUGUCAAAAAACGUCAUAGUAUAUUAAGGCAUAAAAGGUUAUAAAAACGUCAUAGUAUGGUAAGGCAUCAAAUGAAAUUGUAUUGGAAGGCAUAAAAAUGACAAUAAGAACGUCAUAGUAUAGUAUAGCAUAAAAAUGACAAAAAACGUCAUAGUAUAUUAAGGCAUAAAAGGUCUUAAAAACGUCAUAGUAUGGUAAGGAAU